rnacentral:rRNA from 1 species
AAAAGAAACUAACAAGGAUUCCCCCAGUAACGGCGAGUGAAGCGGAAGAGCUCAAGCUUAAAAUCUCCAUGUGUAAGCAUGGCGAAUUGUAGUCUAUAGUGGCUGUUGUCAGCACAGCGAUCUGGGAAAAGUCCCUUGGAAAAGGGCAGCACAGAGGGUGAUACUCCCGUCUUUGCUCAGAUCGUCUUGUGUGUACGAUACGCUUUCUUUGAGUGAGUUGUUUGGGAAUACAGCUCAAAGUAGGUGGUAAAUUCCAUCUAAAGCUAAAUAUUGGUGCGAGACCGAUAGCGAACAAGUACCGUGAGGGAAAGAUGAAAAGAACUUUGAAAAGAGAGUUAAAGAGUACCUGAACUGUUGAAAGGGAACCGUAUCGUUUCCAGUGUUAUAUCCUGUGCAUAUUUCAUUAGCGGAGCAAUUUGCUGGUGCCCUGUGCAUGGGUGUGACGUCAGAGUCAGUUUGUAUGCUGCGGGAGAUGGUCAGUGAGGAGGUGCUUCACUUCGGUGAAAGUUAUAUCUUGCUGUCUAGUAGCCGUGGUUGAGACUGAGGUGCCUACAACAUGCCUUGGGGUUCGGGGCUGUCUUGUUUUGGAAACUGCUUGGAUAGCUUGCUAUGUCUGUGGUUUUUCAGAGCAAUUGAUGGUGUCGAUAACCCCUGCUGUUCGGGACUCUGGCGA